CGUGCUUAACACAUGCAAGUCGAGCGAGAAAGUUCUCUUCGGAGAAUGAGUAGAGCGGCGCACGGGUGAGUAACGCGUGGAUAAUCUGCCCCGAAGAUCGGGAUAACAGUUGGAAACGACUGCUAAUACCGAAUGUUCUGCAUAUUUAACUUUAUGUGGUAAAGAUGGCCUCUAUUUAUAAGCUAUCGCUUUGGGAUGAGUCCGCGUCUCAUUAGAUAGUUGGUGGGGUAAUGGCCUACCAAGUCAACGAUGAGUAGCUGGUCUGAGAGGAUGAUCAGCCACACUGGGACUGAAACACGGCCCAGACUCCUACGGGAGGCAGCAGUGGGGAAUAUUGCGCAAUGGGGGAAACCCUGACGCAGCGACGCCGCGUGCGGGAAGAAGGCCUUCGGGUCGUAAACCGCUGUCAGGAGGGGAAGAAACUGUUGGAGUCGAAUAGGCUCUUUCACCUGACGGUACCUCCAGAGGAAGCACCGGC
rnacentral:rRNA from 1 species